rnacentral:rRNA from 1 species
GACGAACGCUGGCGGCGUGCCUAAUACAUGCAAGUCGAGCGAGCUGAAUUCAAAGAUCCCUUCGGGGUGAUUUGUUGGAGCUAGCGGCGGAUGGGUGAGUAACACGUGGGCAAUCUGCCCUAAAGACUGGGAUACCACUUGGAAACAGGUGCUAAUACCGGAUAACAACAUGAAUCGCAUGAUUCAAGUUUGAAAGGCGGCGCAAGCUGUCACUUUAGGAUGAGCCCGCGGCGCAUUAGCUAGUUGGUGGGGUAAAGGCCUACCAAGGCAAUGAUGCGUAGCCGAGUUGAGAGACUGAUCGGCCACAUUGGGACUGAGACACGGCCCAAACUCCUACGGGAGGCAGCAGUAGGGAAUCUUCCACAAUGGACGCAAGUCUGAUGGAGCAACGCCGCGUGAGUGAAGAAGGUCUUCGGAUCGUAAAGCUCUGUUGUUGGUGAAGAAGGAUAGAGGCAGUAACUGGUCUUUAUUUGACGGUAAUCAACCAGAAAGUCACGGCUAACUACGUGCCAGCAGCCGCGGUAAUACGUAGGUGGCAAGCGUUGUCCGGAUUUAUUGG